rnacentral:rRNA from 1 species
AACGAACGCUGGCGGCAGGCCUAACACAUGCAAGUCGAACGCCCCGCAAGGGGAGUGGCGCACGGGUGAGUAACGCGUGGGAAUAUGCCCUUCGGUUCGGAAUAACACAGGGAAACUUGUGCUAAUACCGGAUACGAUCUACGGAUGAAAGAUUUAUCGCCGAGGGAGUAGCCCGCGUAGGAUUAGCUAGUUGGUGAGGUAAUGGCUCACCAAGGCGACGAUCCUUAGCUGGUCUGAGAGGAUGAUCAGCCACACUGGGACUGAGACACGGCCCAGACUCCUACGGGAGGCAGCAGUGGGGAAUAUUGGACAAUGGGCGAAAGCCUGAUCCAGCCAUGCCGCGUGAGUGAUGAAGGCCUUAGGGUUGUAAAGCUCUUUCGCCAGGGAAGAUAAUGACGGUACCUGGAAAAGAAGCCUCGGCUAACUCCGUGCCAGCAGCCGCCGCAG